GACUUUAUUAUAAUUAUUUUGAAAGUAAUUAAUAAGAGAAUUUCUUUGAAGUCG
rnacentral:tRNA from 1 species